rnacentral:rRNA from 1 species
UACGUAGGGGGCAAGCGUUGUCCGGAUUUAUUGGGCGUAAAGAGCGUGUAGGCGGCCAUACAGGUCCGUUGUGAAAACUGGAGGCUUAACCUCCAGACGUCGAUGGAAACCGUAUGGCUAGAGUCCGGAAGAGGAGAGUGGAAUUCCUGGUGUAGCGGUGGAAUGCGCAGAUAUCAGGAGGAACACCAAUAGCGAAGGCAGCUCGCUGGGACGUUACUGACACUGGAGGCGCGAAGCGUGGGAGCGAACAGGA